rnacentral:rRNA from 1 species
UACAUGGGGUGCAAACGUUGCUCGGAAUUAUUGGGCGUAAAGCGCACGUAGGCGGUUUGUUAAGUCGGAUGUGAAAGUCCAGGGCUCAACCCUGGGAUGCCGGUGGAUACUGUCGGGCUCGAGUCCGGAAGAGGCGAGUGGAAUUCCUGGUGUAGCGGUGAAAUGCGCAGAUAUCAGGAGGAACACCAAUGGCGAAGGCAGCUCGCUGGGACGUGACUGACGCUGAGGAGCGAAAGCGUGGGUAGCAAACAGG